GAUGAACGCUGGCGGCGUGCCUAAUACAUGCAAGUAGAACGCUGAAGGAGGAGCUUGCUCUUCUGGAUGAGUUGCGAACGGGUGAGUAACGCGUAGGUAACCUGCCUGGUAGCGGGGGAUAACUAUUGGAAACGAUAGCUAAUACCGCAUGACAACAGUUAUUGCAUGAUAACUGUUUAAAAGGGGCAACUGCUCCACUACCAGAUGGACCUGCGUUGUAUUAGCUAGUUGGUGAGGUAACGGCUCACCAAGGCGACGAUACAUAGACGACCUGAGAGGGUGCUCGGCCACACUGGGACGGUGACCCGGCCCAGACUCCUACGGGAGGCAGCAGUAGGGAAUCUUCGGCAAUGGACGGAAGUCUGACCGAGAAACGCCGCGUGAGUGAAGAAGGGUGUCGGAUCGUAAAGCUCUGUUGUAAGAGAAGAACGAGUGUGAGAGUGGAAAGUUCACACUGUGACGGUAUCUUACCAGAAAGGGACGGCUAACUACGUG
rnacentral:rRNA from 1 species